UCCUACGCAAUGUUAAUCAACGUAGGGUAAGCCGGCCCCUAAGGCGUAGCUGAAGAGUGAAGUCGAUGGGAAACAGGUUAAUAUUCCUGUGCCGCUUAUAUAAACGAAGGAGGGACGGAGAAGGUUAGGUAGGCCUGGCGAAUGGUUGUCCAGGUGAAAGUAUAUAGGUAGAGGUGUUAGGCAAAUCCGGCAUCUUGUUAAUCUGAGAUACGAGACGAAGUCAAACUUGUUUGACGAAGCUAUUGAUACCAUGCUUCCAGGAAAAGCUUCUAAGUAUAUUGUAUAAGCGACCGUACUGUAAACCGACACUGGUGGGUAGGUAGAGAAUACUAAGGCUAUGAGAUAACUCUGGUGAAGGAACUAGGCAAAAUGACACCGUAACUUUGGAAAAAGGUGUGCCCUUGAUAGUUAUAAGACUUGCUCUUUGGGCUGUUGGGGGUUGCAGAUACCAGGUGGCUGCGACUGUUUAUCAAAAACACAGCACUCUGCGAAAUCGUAAGAUGAAGUAUAGGGUGUGACGCCUGCCCGGUGCUGGAAGGUUAAU
rnacentral:rRNA from 1 species